AUUGAACGCUGGCGGCAGGCCUAACACAUGCAAGUCGAGCGAGCGGCGGACGGGUGAGUAAUGUAUGGGGAUCUGCCCGAUGGAGGGGGAUAACUACUGGAAACGGUGGCUAAUACCGCAUACUAUCGGAUGAACCCAUAUGGGAUUAGCUAGUAGGUGGGGUAAAGGCUCACCUAGGCGACGAUCUCUAGCUGGUCUGAGAGGAUGAUCAGCCAAACCGGGACUUAGAACAGGCCCAGACCCCUACGGGAGGUAGCAGUGGGGAAUAUUGCAAAAUGGGGGGAAGCCUGAGGCCGCCAAGCCGGGGUGAUGAAGAAGGCCUUAGGGGUGUAAAGUACUUUUAGCGGGGAGGCGUUAACCGCCGAAGAAGCACCGGCCAACCCCGUGCCAGCCGCCGCGGUAAUAC
rnacentral:rRNA from 1 species